rnacentral:tmRNA from 1 species
UCACUUGGAAUGCGGAACCCAUGCGCCUACAUUGGCCGGGCCGGGCAACCGGCUAUGCUGGUAGAGUGUAGGUAGAAAUAAGCAUUUCGGACCCGGGGGGCAGUACCCCGGCGCCUCCACCAGCAGCGGCGAAUUUUUCACGUCUCGCCGUUGCUGAUGGGGGCGAAACAGGAUCGACGGAUGUGGUAAAGUGCUUGCUGCCAGCGGGCUUGGAUCGGCCCUAAAACGGUCAUUCUCACAAGUGCCAACGAUAACGAGGCGCUCGCGAUUGCUGCGUAACUGACGGCCUAACGGUCAGACGUUACAAAGCUUAAGCGCGGUUGGACCGAACCGGGCAACAGAAUCGGAUUCCA